rnacentral:rRNA from 1 species
GAUGAACGCUGGCGGCGUGCCUAAUACAUGCAAGUCGAGCGAACAGACGAGGAGCUUGCUCCUCUGACGUUAGCGGCGGACGGGUGAGUAACACGUGGAUAACCUACCUAUAAGGCUGGGAUAACUUCGGGAAACCGGAGCUAAUACCGGAUAACAUGUUGAACCGCAUGGUUCAACAGUGAAAGACGGUCUUGCUGUCACUUAUAGAUGGAUCCGCGCCGCAUUAGCUAGUUGGUAAGGUAACGGCUUACCAAGGCAACGAUGCGUAGCCGACCUGAGAGGGUGAUCGGCCACACUGGAACUGAGACACGGUCCAGACUCCUACGGGAGGCAGCAGUAGGGAAUCUUCCGCAAUGGGCGAAAUCCUGACGGAGCAACGCCGCGUGAGUGAAGAAGGUCUUCGGAUCGUAAAACUCUGUUAUUAGGGAAGAACAAAUGUGUAAGUAACUAUGCACGUCUUGACGGUACCUAAUCAGAAAGCCACGGCUAACUACGUG